GUGCCAGCCGCCGCGGUAAUACGGAGGGAGCUAGCGUUGUUCGGAAUUACUGGGCGUAAAGCGCACGUAGGCGGCUCAGCAAGUCAGGGGUGAAAUCCCGGGGCUCAACCCCGGAACUGCCCUUGAAACUGCUAAGCUAGAAUCCUGGAGAGGCGAGUGGAAUUCCGAGUGUAGAGGUGAAAUUCGUAGAUAUUCGGAAGAACACCAGUGGCGAAGGCGACUCGCUGGACAGGUAUUGACGCUGAGGUGCGAAAGCGUGGGGAGCAAACAGGAUUAGAUACCCUUGUAGUCC
rnacentral:rRNA from 1 species